UCAGAAUUGCUUCUGAGUCUAGCUUGAUGG
rnacentral:piRNA from 1 species